rnacentral:rRNA from 1 species
AGCGAACGCUAGCGGCGGGCCUAACACAUGCAAGUCGAGCGCGUCACUCCGGUGACGAGCGGCGGACGGGUGAGUAACACGUAGGUUAUCUGCCCUUUGGUGGGGAAUAACCAGGGGAAACCUUGGCUAAUACCGCAUAUGGCCUUCGGGUCAAAGCCUUCGGGCGCCAGAGGAUGAGCCUGCGUCGCAUUACCUAGUUGGUAGGGUAAUGGCCUACCAAGGGGACGAUGCGUAGCUGGUCUGAGAGGAUGAUCAGCCACACUGGGACUGAGACACGGCCCAGACUCCUACGGGAGGCAGCAGUGGGGAAUAUUGCGCAAUGGGCGAAAGCCUGACGCAGCCACGCCGCGUGGGUGAUGAAGGCCUUCGGGUUGUAAAGCCCUGUCGGGAGGGACGAAAUCUUGACGGUACCUCCAAAGAAAGCACCGGCUAACCCCGUGCCAGCAGCCGCAGUAAAAC